rnacentral:rRNA from 1 species
AUGGAUCCAAGCCCUUCGAUUACAUGUUGGAACGUGCGAGGCCUGAAUAACCCGGCGAAAAGGAAGGCGGUGAGGGAGUUCAUCUCAUCGGUCAAGUGUAAUAUGGUGUGUCUCCAGGAGACGAAACUGGAUGUUGUAGACCAAUUUACUAUCAUGCAAUGUAUCGGACCAUCGUAUGAUGGCUUUGCUUACCUUCCGGCGACUGACACCCGUGGGGGUGUGGUCUUGGCGUGGGAUUCGACCGUGGUGCAGGUUGAUCAUGUUGUGCUGGAUACACACGCUCUAACCGGUCAGGUGCAUAACCUUGACGGGAGCUUAUGGUGGAUCACAGUAGUGUAUGCUCCGCAAGGAGACGAUUAG